AUUUUUCACAAUGGGGGGAAACCCUGAUGGAGCGACGCCGCGUGGGGGAUGAAUGGCUUCGGCCCGUAAACCCCUGUCAUUUGCGAACAAACCUGGUGGCUGAACAAGCUGCCAGCUGAUAGUAGCAGAAGAGGAAGGGACGGCUAACUCUGUGCCAGCAGCCGCGGUAAUACAGAGGUCCCAAGCGUUGUUCGGAUUCACUGGGCGUAAAAGGGUGCGUAGGCGGUGGGGUAAGUUUGAGGUGAAAUCUCCGGGCUCAACCCGGAAAUUGCCUUGAAGACUAUCCUGCUAGAGGAUCGGAGGGGAGACUGGAAUUCUCGGUGUAGCAGUGAAAUGCGUAGAUAUCGAGAGGAACACCGAUGGCGAAGGCAGCCCCCUGGGCCGAUACUGACGCUCAUGCACGAAAGCGUGGGGAGCAAACAGGAUUAGAUACCCUGGUAGUCCACGCCCUAAACGAUGUCAACUAGGUGUUGGGUAGGGUAAAACCAUUUAGUACCGAGCUAACGCGUGAAGUUGACCGCUGGGGAGUACGGCCGC
rnacentral:rRNA from 1 species